UAUGAGCAUCAAAUGAGAAGGUCCUA
rnacentral:piRNA from 1 species